GACGAACGCUGGCGGCGUGCUUAAUACAUGCCAGUCGAACGGAAAGGCCCUGCACUUGUGGCAUGUUCGAGUGGCGAAAGGGUGAGUAUCACGUGAGUAACCUGCCCUUGACUGUGGGAUAACUUCAGGGAACUGGGGCGAAUAUCGGAUAGGAGCACCUGCUGCAUGGUGGGGGUUGGUAAAUUUCGGAGGUUUGGGACGGACUCGCGGGCUAUCAGCUUGUUGGUGGGGUAGUGGCUUACCAAGGCAUGGACGGGUAGCCGGCUUGAGAGGGUGACCGGCCACAUUGGGACUGAGAUGCGGGCCAGACUGCUACGGGAGGCAGCGGUGAGAGAUAGUGCGCGAUGGGCGGAAGCCUGAUGCAGCAACGCCGCGUGCGGGAUGACGGCCUUCGGGGUGUAACCCGCUUUCGCCUGUGACGAAGCGUGAGUGACGGUAAUGGGUAAAGAAGCACCGGCUAACUACGUG
rnacentral:rRNA from 1 species